UACGUAGGGUGCAAGCGUUGUCCGGAAUUAUUGGGCGUAAAGAGCUCGUAGGCGGUCUGUCACGUCGGCUGUGAAAACCCGAGGCUCAACCUCGGGCCUGCAGUCGAUACGGGCAGACUAGGGUUCGGUAGGGGAGACUGGAAUUCCUGGUGUAGCGGUGAAAUGCGCAGAUAUCAGGAGGAACACCGGUGGCGAAGGCGGGUCUCUGGGCCGAAACUGACGCUGAGGAGCGAAAGCGUGGGGAGCGAACAGG
rnacentral:rRNA from 1 species